AAUCGUAUGCUUGUCUCAAGAUUAAGCCAUGCAUGUCUCAGUAUAAGUGUUUCACUGCGAAACUGCGAAUGGCUCAUUAAAACAGUUAUAGUUUCCAUGUCAGUUGUUUAUUACCUGGAUAUCCACGGUAAUUCUAGAGCUAAUACAUGCGUCCAGACCCGACUUUUGCGGAAGGGUUGUGCUUAUUAGACACUGAACCAUCCCGGCUUGCCCGGUUUCGAGGGGAUUGAUGGUAAUCGAACAAAUCCCAUGCUUCGGCGGCGAUGAUUCGUUCAAGUUUCUGACCUAUCAGCUUCCGACGGUAGGGUAUUGGCCUAGCGUGGCUUUGACGGGAAACGGAGAAUUAGGGUUUGAUGACACUGAGUUUUCCUCCCCAUUCCCUUGAAGAAAUCCGAAUAUAACCCGCCUAGGUUAGUUCCUGCCCCCGACUUACCUAAAAUAAAAAGUCCACUACUUAUUUGUUCACGCAACGGGCCGCACCCUUGCAAAACCCCUUGUCCAUUAUCCAUUGACCAUUCAGUCGAUUGCAAACACCCGCGGCAAUUCCAACUCUGUACCCACAUCCCCUAGCCUUCCUGAUCCCAUCUCCCAUGAUCAUACCAAAGGACGUACCAGUGUCGGGGGUUAAAAUCUCAAGCAAACCCCCUCACUCUCCUUUGCUUGCACCCCGGGGGCCUCCCAUUUUGCUGAUACGUGUACACAUCGACUUUUGCCGACCCAAAACCAUGGUCUUCCCCCGGGCGUCGGUUUUCGGGUAGAAAAACAGUAGGGUUGCUAAAAAAUUUACAUCCGGAUCGGAUCGCUCGGCUGGCGUGAGAUAUGGGUUGAAGGGAGGGGGGGAUUCCAAUUUCCUUCCUAUCCCGGAACCUUCGUUAAGGAUUCAAGGAAACCUGCGGGGGCAUUGCUUUUCCAGGCGUUUGGGGUCAUCCUGUCGAAGAGGUUUGACCCCAGUUUGUGGAAAACAUUUCUCCGAGGGUGCUCUUUUAUUCAUUAAUGAGUGCCGAAAGCUCAAAGGACAUAGGAUGCUCCCUUAUCCAAACACCUAACGACGACUAUCCCCGGCCUGCCCCGGGUUUGUGUAUUAUAAAACCCCCACUAUUUGUGGAAAAUUAACAGGGAAAACCAACAGGGGGGGCGGAAUUACUGGGGGAAAAGAUAUGGCUUGGCCUGCGGCCUACAAACCUUAAAAUUAAUAUUUGAACGGGGAAGGGGACCCCCCACCCGGGGGAGGGGGGGAGCCCCUGGGGGGGCCUC
rnacentral:rRNA from 1 species